rnacentral:rRNA from 1 species
GAUAAACGCUGGCGGCGUGCCUAACACAUGCAAGUCGAGCGGUAAGGCCCUUUUAGGGUACACGAGCGGCGGACGGGUGAGUAACGCGUAGGAAUCUACCCCAGACUGAGGGAUAGCCCACCGAAAGGUGGAUUAAUACCGCAUACGGUCUUCGGAUUAAAGCUUCGGCGGUUUGGGAAGAGCCUGCGUAAGAUUAGCUAGUUGGUAAGGUAAUGGCUUACCAAGGCGACGAUCUUUAGCUGGUCUGAGAGGAUGAUCAGCCACACUGGAACUGGGACACGGUCCAGACUCCUACGGGAGGCAGCAGUGAGGAAUUUUCCACAAUGGGCGAAAGCCUGAUGGAGCAACGCCGCGUGCAGGAUGAAUGCCUUCGGGUUGUAAACUGCUUUUGUCUGUGACGAAUAUGACGGUAGCCGACGAAUAAGGAUCGGCUAACUCCGUGCCAGCAGCCGCCGUAA